AUUGCUCCUACAGUGAUUGUAGAUAGGACUGCUGUGUAACAUGUGUGCCUAUAAGUGAUAGAGAGGAGAGAGGCUAUGUCUAUACUCAGCGUUCUGACCUAUGAACAUCUGAAUAACUAGUAACAAU
ensembl:snoRNA LOC120101332 small nucleolar RNA SNORA17